AAGAAACAGAGGCGGUUUGCUGCAAAGCGGUUACAGGAGGUUUCUGCAAAGAUUGCACUGUUGGGACCCCGUAUUGCGGGUAUCAGAGUUGCAAUAUUUUUGGCUGUGCUUGUGGCGGGGGAUGUCGGAGAGACUGUGGUUACAGGUUAGGUGGUUACGGGACAACCAUUAUGGUUUUUGAGAGAAACCGACCGUCUACAUGCACAUGCACCAACAAGCGAUCAGUGACAGAUGAAGCAAGUGACACUGAG